AAGUAUUAGAGGCAUUGCCUGCCCAGUGACUAAAGUUAAACGGCCGCGGUAUCCUGACCGUGCAAAGGUAGCAUAAUCACUUGUUCCUUAAUUAGGGACUAGAAUGAAUGGCUAAACGAGGGUUCAACUGUCUCUUACUUUCAAUCAGUGAAAUUGACCUUCCAGUGAAGAGGCUGGAAUCUCCCAAUAAGACGAGAAGACCCUAUGGAGCUUUAAUUUACUAGUUCAACUUAUAUAAAAACAACCUAAUGGGCUAAAACAAAAUAAAUAUGAACUAAAAAAUUUCGGUUGGGGUGACCUCGGAGAAUAAAAAAUCCUCCGAAUGAUUUUAACCUAGACUCACAAGUCAAAGUAAUACUAAUAUCUUAUUGACCCAAUUAUUGAUCAACGGACCAAGUUACCCUAGGGAUAACAGCGCAAUCCUAUUUAAGAGUUCAUAUCGACAAUUAGGGUUUACGACCUCGAUGUUGGAUCAGGACAUCCCAAUGGUGCAGAAGCUAUUAAUGGUUCGUUUGUUCAACGAUUAAAGUCCUACGUGAUCUG
rnacentral:rRNA from 1 species